UAAAACAACAGAAAUGUUAUAGUUUAAAAUAAGGUUAUCAAACAACACAAAAGUCUCAUUCAUCUAAUUCUCUAAGGAGGAAAUCAUCUCCAAGAUCUUCAUGAUCAUCUACAUCUUCAUCAAUUAGCCAAUCUGCAGUAAAAACCCUAAUUUUAAACCCUAAUUAAACAAAAACCCCAUCUGUCCAGAGCAGUAAAAACCCUAAUUUUAAAAACCCUAAUCCAAUUUGUCCUCACCGCAACAGCAAGACUUUCCUACGAAUUGCUUCGCGAACAGCACAAUGGGAAGAGGAUAGCG
rnacentral:lncRNA from 1 species